AGCGCGCGUGUAUUUACGAAAACGGCGCGGCGCGGAAACGCACAAUGGGGAUCGAAAACGGAUCAGGAUCAGUUUUAGAAGCGAAUUCGAUAAAAGAGAGAGAAAGGAGGAGGAGAGAGAGAGAGAGAGAGAGACUGUAGCAGAGGAUACCGACAGUGGCUGCGAUUAAUAUUCCCCGGUUCUAGCAGGAGUUCCGUCGUAUCCGCGUCGUACGGCAACCUCUCCCCUCCCCUCCCUCCGCGUUUGCACUUUGAGUCGUAGCCGCAGCAAUCCCCUGCCACCUUUCCAGUCACCGCUGCCCUUUUCCAGAUCCGCAUUACGCUCGAUAUCCCACCGUCUCUCCUUCUUUCCAUUUCCGACAAACGUAUCGCUGUGUCAAAAUUUCCAUCCUUCGCUAAACUGCCCGCCCAUUUCUCACUAUCCCUGCCGCGCCACGAUGAUUCAUCCACGGCGAAUCGAUCGAGAAAGACGAAUUUACGAAUCUCUACACGAUAUUUCGUGACAAUUCGAUAUGCGAUUACUCGUUCUCCUCGAACAAAGAGAAAACCGAAGAGAAAAAGAGAAAAAAGUUGGUUGAAAUUUUCGCCGAGAGAGGAAAAUACUGGAACUAGACAAUUUACUGGUGCUAAAAUUAUCAUCAAAGAAAAGUACGAAUAUACUUUGAGACGCAAAAAAAAAAAAAA